GGCAACUAUUAAAUGCAGAUUCUGAUUCUGUAGGUCUGCGCUGAGACCUACAGUUUCUGCAUUUUUAACAAGUUC
rnacentral:miRNA from 1 species